GAUGAACGCUGGCGGCGUGCCUAAUACAUGCAAGUCGAACGAAUGGAUUAAGAGCUUGCUCUUAUGAAGUUAGCGGCGGACGGGUGAGUAACACGUGGGUAACCUGCCCAUAAGACUGGGAUAACUCCGGGAAACCGGGGCUAAUACCGGAUAACAUUUUGAACCGCAUGGUUCGAAUUUGAAAGGCGGCUUCGGCUGUCACUUAUGGAUGGACCCGCGUCGCAUUAGCUAGUUGGUGAGGUAACGGCUCACCAAGGCAACGAUGCGUAGCCGACCUGAGAGGGUGAUCGGCCAACCUGGGACUGAGACACGGCCCAGACUCCUACGGGAGGCAGCAGUAGGGAAUCUUCCGCAAUGGACGAAAGUCUGACGGAGCAACGCCGCGUGAGUGAUGAAGGCUUUCGGGUCGUAAAACUCUGUUGUUAGGGAAGAACAAGUGCUAGUUGAAUAAGCUGGCACCUUGACGGUACCUAACCAGAAAGCCACGGCUAACUACGUGCCAGCCGCCGCCGUAA
rnacentral:rRNA from 1 species